UGGGGAAUAUUGGACAAUGGGGGGAACCCUGAUCCAGCCAUGCCGCGUGUGUGAAGAAGGCCUUAUGGUUGUAAAGCACUUUAAGCGAGGAGGAGGGUACUGGUAUUAAUACUACCAGCUACUGGACGUUACUCGCAGAAUAAGCACCGGCUAACUCUGUGCCAGCAGCCGCGGUAAUACAGAGGGUGCGAGCGUUAAUCGGAUUUACUGGGCGUAAAGCGUGCGUAGGCGGCUAAUUGAGUCGGAUGUGAAAUCCCCGAGCUUAACUUGGGAAUUGCAUUCGAGACUGGUUAGCUAGAGUGUGGGAGAGGAUGGUAGAAUUCCAGGUGUAGCGGUGAAAUGCGUAGAGAUCUGGAGGAAUACCGAUGGCGAAGGCAGCCAUCUGGCCUAACACUGACGCUGAGGUACGAAAGCAUGGGGAGCAAACAGG
rnacentral:rRNA from 1 species